GACGAACGCUGGCGGCGUGCUUAACACAUGCAAGUCGAACGGAAAGGCCCUGCUUUUGUGGGGUGCUCGAGUGGCGAACGGGUGAGUAACACGUGAGUAACCUGCCCUUGACUUUGGGAUAACUUCAGGAAACUGGGGCUAAUACCGGAUAGGAGCUCCUGCUGCAUGGUGGGGGUUGGAAAGUUUCGGCGGUUGGGGAUGGACUCGCGGCUUAUCAGCUUGUUGGUGGGGUAGUGGCUUACCAAGGCUUUGACGGGUAGCCGGCCUGAGAGGGUGACCGGCCACAUGGGGACUGAGAUACGGCCCAGACUCCUACGGGAGGAAGCGGUGGGGAAUAUGGCACAAUGGGCGGAGGCCUGAUGCAGCACCGCCGCGUGCGGAAUGACGGCCUUCGGGUUGUAAACGGCUUUCGCCUGUGACGAAGCGUGGGUGAGGGUAAUGGUAAAGAAGCACCGGCUAACUACGUG
rnacentral:rRNA from 1 species